ACUUUGCAUAAUGUCCAAUCAUGUUAUGCCAAUUUCAUCCACUUAUAUGUUGCCAAUUUCCAUCCAAUGAUCAUGUUCCACUUGCCUAUAGGUAAUCCAAUUAGCACUUGACAUAUUUGAAUGAUGAGGUGACAAAUGGAAAACUAGAAACACAUGCAUUGGUGCUCAAUUUCCUGGUUAAUGAAAACAAUGGGCUGUUUGAUGGUUUACCCAAAGAAUGAGUUUGAUACCAGAUUAAUAAAAGCUUACAUUAGGAGCUGCUUUUUCUCAAAAAUUUUUCAUUUCUCAACUUUCUUUCUCUCUCUUCUAUCUUUUCUCUCUCUGUUACUCUCUUUCGCCUCUUCAUGAAGAACAGCAAGAACAUCACCGUCUCGUCCCUAGAUUCCGGCGGCUGGCCAUCGCGAAUCCCAUACUCCGGCGAGCCACCACACCAUCUCGUCCUUCACCGCCACAUCCACCACCAUCACACCUACAAUCACUCGAAAUUGUCCGCCGCCUCUAUUCCUCCGCCUCGCCGAUUUCAUUCUUUCGAUUUCAAAAGCCUCUCUGGUGGGUUCAAUUCCUCAAAUUUUGAUCUUGCAUGUUUGAAAUCUUCCCUGAAAUUGGAUCUUUGGAUGUCAAUCAGAGAAAGCUGUUGUUGGAGAAUGUCAUGUUUCAAAAGAUUUAGUUGAAAAGUUACCACAUAAUCUUGUGGUAAUUGCUUCACACACAACUGAGAUGGACAAGGAGAAAGGGAUGGAGAUCCAACCUGAUAGAAAUAAUGGGGAGUCAACAUCACUCAUAACUCAGGAGAAGCCUACUAGACAGCCUGAUCAUGGAAGCAAAAUCCCCUCUGAACUUAUGAAGCAAAUUAUUAGCCUUUUCCCCCAACAAGUUAACCAUAUUGCUGCCUAAGGGUUAUGGAGCAAAGUCUGCUGAAGAGAAGCAGAGGCUUUUGAAGUUAAUGAGAAACUUAAAUUUUAAUGGGAAAUCUGGUUCGGAAUUGUAUAUGCCCAAUGCUCAAACUUUUGUUGGAGUGGCUGCAUCAGAUGGAUUUUAUACUCCUGAUUUCAAAGGGGAUUUCUCCCUUUCAAUAAACUUAUAUAAGGAAGAAUUUUAAAGUUGUUGAAUAAUUGGUAAAAUGUCUCCACUCUUUUGGUAUUGUUGAAUAGUUUGAAUUGUGAAUUUUUUGUGAAGUUGUUAUUGAUGCAUUAUAUCUUUGUGGUUUGGAUGACAUAUUUUACAUCUAUCGAAGUAUUCUAUUGGACAAAUCUCCUUUAUGUCCAUGUUUUCUCAGUCUCUUUUUUCUUUUCCACUUCUUUUCUAUAUGAUUGAGUAAUAUAUAAGAGUGAAAUUUUAAAUAAAAUAGAUUGAAAUUUCAUGGACUUCUUUUUCCCUUUUCAAGAAAGCUAUUAGGAUAGAGUUUGAAGCUUAGAAUUUGAAAGCAUUUGAAGCUUAUAACUUCAAGCUUGUGGGUAUGUGUGUCUCCAAAAUAUGUAGGCCAGUGUCUGUAAUGGAUUGUAGUGUACUCCUAGCGUGUGUUGUUUCGAUUAUGCAUUGACAGAAAAAACAUUCCUCCUGCAUAGCCUACAAAAGAUGUUACUGACAUGAAUGUCUGAUCCGCCGAAAUCAUAUUGGUGACUGGGGCACUCAGAUAAAUUUGGAACAUGUUGGUGAAUCAUAACUGCUACUUUGUAGGGGAGGGGGGAUAGGUAUUUAUGGUUAUUACUAUUUUAUAGGGAUGACUACAUCAUCAUUGCUACUUUUUAGGAAGUAUUGAGUAUCCAACCCUAUAUUUUUGCAUAACUCCUUCACUAAUCCACACAUAUUUUCUCAUUGAUCAAAUACACCACUCUUCUAAUUUUCUUUUCUAUUCAUCUCCUAUGUGUUUUGUCUAUCUUAUUUCAACAACAUCUUCCUCUAACCCUUCAUUUCCCAUAUGGCAUCCUAUCUCACAUAAUUAAACGACUGUUAUAAAACCCAAUCUAGGAAAGAGAAAAAAAGUCACACUCUUAUCUUUCUUGCUUUAGAUGGCUGGCUUUGAAAACAGAGAUAUGAUGACAUGCUUUGUUGUAAUUUUGAAUGCUUUAAUAUACAGUACUUAAAUGCUUCAAUCUUUGCUUAUGAUACUAAGUAAAAAAAAGUUCUCAAUCUUCUUCUUCUUCAAAAAAAAAAAGUUCUCAACAACUUAAAUUAGGGAUAAGUAUGAAGUUUUGAACUUGGAGAGAUUGAUAUGUUUCAACCAAUGUGAAGUCCAAGAUCUUAUAUCUCACAAUGCUUUCGAUCUUUAUUAGAUUGCAAACUCUGUGAAUGUUGGUGGCUCAAAUUAUGUUGAAAGAUUCCUACUUUAAUAGGUUGGCUCGAAUUUUUGGUGGAUGGAUAUAUUAUGAAGAUGAAAUUAGUUGUCAUCCAAGCAUAGACUUUGCAGCAAAGAAAAUAACUGUUGUUGGAGUGUAAUGGCAAGCAUAACAAAGGUGAAGACUACAUAAAUAUGGCCAGAAUUUGCUUCACCAAUUGGAGUUACAAGUGGUGCUCCUGAAUAAAGGAAAUAGACUAUAGGUGUUUUCGUAUGCUUUGAGUCUGUAUUAGGUGGUAGUUUAGUGGUAGUUUAAUUAGUGUAAAUGAGAAUGUUAGCAAGUGAAGUUGUGGCUUUGAAGAGAUAUUAGUAGUUUAUUUAGAAGGAGCUUUAUCUUUGCAUAAGGAUCGACUAUUGAAACCGAUUUUCAUAAUGAGUAGUGGAUCAUAUAAGUAAAGAUUUAUUUUUUAAA